CCUACGGGCGGCAGCAGUGGGGAAUUUUGCGCAAUGGGGGCAACCCUGACGCAGCAACGCCGCGUGAGUGAUGAAGGCCUUCGGGUCGUAAAGCUCUGUCAGAGGGGAAGAAAUGCAGGUGGUGAACAACCAUUCUGUUUGACGGUACCCUCAAAGGAAGCACCGGCUAACUCCGUGCCAGCAGCCGCGGUAAUACGGAGGGUGCGAGCGUUGUUCGGAAUUAUUGGGCGUAAAGCGCGUGUAGGCGGUUUGUUAAGUCUGAUGUAAAAGCCCCGGGCUCAACCGGGAAAGUGCAUUGGAUACUGGCGGACUUGAGUACGGGAGAGGAGAGUGAAAUUCCCAGUGUAGGAGUAAAAUCCGUAGAUAUCGGGAGGAACACCAGUGGCGAAGGCGGUUUUCGGGACUGUACCUGACGCUGAGACGCGAAAGCGUGGGGAGCAAACAGGAUUAGAUACCCGUGUAGU
rnacentral:rRNA from 1 species